rnacentral:misc_RNA from 1 species
AAAAAAGAUUCUACCAAAUGCAACCCGCCCUGCAGCCUUGGUUGACAAUUUAAAGUAGUGCAACUAUAUAGAGUGAUCGUGUGCAUCUGUCUAUAUGCUUCUCCACUAAUGGCUGUGAAAGAUAAUCAGUCCAUCUCAUUUUCCUGAGUUUCUAGGAGCACAAAUACAUUUGUUGCUUCUCUCAGAAUUAGAUGUUUCUGAUCUGCAUUUUACUUUUCUGUGUGU